AUGAACGCUAGCUACAGGCUUAACACAUGCAAGUCGAGGGGCAGCAUGGUCUUAGCUUGCUAAGACUGAUGGCGACCGGCGCACGGGUGAGUAACACGUAUCCAACCUGCCGUCUACUCUUGGACAGCCUUCUGGAAGGAAGAUUAAUACAAGAUGGCAUCAUGAGUCCGCAUGUUCACAUGAUUAAAGGUAUUCCGGUAGACGAUGGGGAUGCGUUCCAUUAGAUAGUAGGCGGGGUAACGGCCCACCUAGUCUUCGAUGGAUAGGGGUUCUGAGAGGAAGGUCCCCCACAUUGGAACUGAGACACGGUCCAAACUCCUACGGGAGGCAGCAGUGAGGAAUAUUGGUCAAUGGGCGAGAGCCUGAACCAGCCAAGUAGCGUGAAGGAUGACUGCCCUAUGGGUUGUAAACUUCUUUUAUAAAGGAAUAAAGUCGGGUAUGGAUACCCGUUUGCAUGUACUUUAUGAAUAAGGAUCGGCUAACUCCGUGCCAGCAGCCGCGGUAAUACGGAGGAUCCGAGCGUUAUCCGGAUUUAUUGGGUUUAAAGGGAGCGUAGAUGGAUGUUUAAGUCAGUUGUGAAAGUUUGCGGCUCAACCGUAAAAUUGCAGUUGAUACUGGAUAUCUUGAGUGCAGUUGAGGCAGGCGGAAUUCGUGGUGUAGCGGUGAAAUGCUUAGAUAUCACGAAGAACUCCGAUUGCGAAGGCAGCCUGCUAAGCUGCAACUGACAUUGAGGCUCGAAAGUGUGGGUAUCAAACAGUAUUAGAUACCCGGCUAGUCCAACCGGUAACCGCUGACUCCUCGCUGUUUGCGAUAUACUGCAAGCGGCCAAGCGAAAGCGUUAAGUAUUCCACCUGGGGAGUACGCCGGCAACGGUGAAACUCAAAGGAAUUGACGGGGGCCCGCACAAGCGGUGGAGUAUGUGGUUUAAUUCGACGCAACGCGAAGAACCUUACCAGGUCUUGACAUCCUUUGACCACUCUAGAGAUAGAGCUUUCCCUUCGGGGACAAAGUGACAGGUGGUGCAUGGUUGUCGUCAGCUCGUGCCGUGAGGUGUCGGCUUAAGUGCCAUAACGAGCGCAACCCUUGUUGUCAGUUACUAACAGGUUCCGCUGAGGACUCUGACAAGACUGCCAUCGUAAGAUGUGAGGAAGGUGGGGAUGACGUCAAAUCAGCACGGCCCUUACGUCCGGGGCUACACACGUGUUACAAUGGGGGGUACAGAAGGCCGCUACCACGCGAGUGGAUGCCAAUCCCCAAAACCUCUCUCAGUUCGGACUGGAGUCUGCAACCCGACUCCACGAAGCUGGAUUCGCUAGUAAUCGCGCAUCAGCCACGGCGCGGUGAAUACGUUCCCGGGCCUUGUACACACCGCCCGUCAAGCCAUGGGAGCCGGGGGUACCUGAAGUGCGUAACCGCGAGGAGCGCCCUAGGGUAAAACUGGUGACUGGGGCU
rnacentral:rRNA from 1 species